UCUCUGUUAGUAUAUCGGUUAGUACACGCGCCUGUCACUUGACGAAGUGGAUUCUUCACUUGGCCGCGCGAAAGCGGGGUUCGACUCCCCGACAGAGAG
rnacentral:tRNA from 2 species